AAUGUUUUAGGUUAAAUUAAACCUGUAGCCUUCAAAGUUACUAAUGGGUAAAUUACCCAAACAUUA
rnacentral:tRNA from 1 species